rnacentral:ncRNA from 1 species
GCUUAUCAAGAGAGGCUAGAGGGAACCGGCCCAGUGAAGCCCGGCAACCGCGGAGAGCAGCGGUGCCAAAUCCGGCAGGACACCAAAUCAGGCGACCUGAAAGAUGAGG